GCUCCAAUGGGUCAAUGGUAGACUGGUUUCGAAAUUUAAGGCGGAUCCGAUACGGUUGUCGAGGCAGACAUGGGUUCGAUUCCUGCUUGGAGCU